rnacentral:rRNA from 1 species
GGCAACCCUGACGGAGCAAUACCGCGUGCGGGAGGACGGCCUGUGGGUUGUAAACCGCUUUUCUCAGGGAAGAAGACCUGACGGUACCUGAGGAAUCAGCAUCGGCUAACUCCGUGCCAGCAGCCGCGGUAAUACGGAGGAUGCAAGCGUUAUCCGGAAUUAUUGGGCGUAAAGCGUCCGCAGGUGGCGAUUCAAGUCUGCUGUCAAAGCACGGGGCUCAACUCUGGUCAGGCAGUGGAAACUACAUAGCUAGAGUUCGGUAGGGGCAAAGGGAAUUCCCGGUGUAGCGGUGAAAUGCGUAGAGAUCGGGAAGAACAUCGGUGGCGAAAGCGCUUUGCUAGACCGAAACUGACACUCAGGGACGAAAGCUAGGGGAGCG